rnacentral:rRNA from 1 species
UGGGGAAUUUUGCACAAUGGGGGAAACCAUGAUGCAGCGACGCCGCGUGAUUUAGAAGGCCUUCGGGUUGUAAAAAUCUUUUCUAUGGGAAGAAAAUGACAGUACCAUAGGAAUAAGGACCGGCUAAUUACGUGCCAGCAGCCGCGGUAAUACGUAAGGUCCGAGCGUUGUCCGGAAUCAUUGGGCGUAAAGGGUACGUAGGCGGGUAAGCAAGUUAGAAGUGAAAUCCUAUAGCUCAACUAUAGUAAGCUUUUAAAACUGCUCAUCUUGAGGUAUGGAAGGGAAAGUGGAAUUCCUAGUGUAGCGGUGAAAUGCGCAGAUAUUAGGAGGAAUGCCGGUGGCGAAGGCGACUUUCUGGCCAUAACCUGACGCUGAGGUACGAAAGCGUGGGUAGCAAACAGG